CAUGCAGUCGAACGAAACUUCUUUAUCACCGAGUGCUUGCACUCACCGAUAAAGAGUUGAGUGGCGAACGGGUGAGUAACACGUGGGCAACCUGCCCAAAAGAGGGGGAUAACACUUGGAAACAGGUGCUAAUACCGCAUAACCAUAGUUACCGCAUGGUAACUAUGUAAAAGGUGGCUAUGCUACCGCUUUUGGAUGGGCCCGCGGCGCAUUAGCUAGUUGGUGAGGUAAAGGCUUACCAAGGCAAUGAUGCGUAGCCGAACUGAGAGGUUGAUCGGCCACAUUGGGACUGAGACACGGCCCAAACUCCUACGGGAGGCAGCAGUAGGGAAUCUUCCACAAUGGGCGAAAGCCUGAUGGAGCAACGCCGCGUGGGUGAAGAAGGUCUUCGGAUCGUAAAACCCUGUUGUUAGAGAAGAAAGUGCGUGAGAGUAACUGUUCACGUUUCGACGGUAUCUAACCAGAAAGCCACGGCUAACUACGUGCCAGCAGCCGCGGUAAUACGUAGGUGGCAAGCGUUAUCCGGAUUUAUUGGGCGUAAAGGGAACGCAGGCGGUCUUUUAAGUCUGAUGUGAAAGCCUUCGGCUUAACCGGAGUAGUGCAUUGGAAACUGGGAGACUUGAGUGCAGAAGAGGAGAGUGGAACUCCAUGUGUAGCGGUGAAAUGCGUAGAUAUAUGGAAGAACACCAGUGGCGAAAGCGGCUCUCUGGUCUGUAACUGACGCUGAGGUUCGAAAGCGUGGGUAGCAAACAGGAUUAGAUACCCUGGUAGUCCACGCCGUAAACGAUGAAUGCUAAGUGUUGGAGGGUUUCCGCCCUUCAGUGCUGCAGCUAACGCAAUAAGCAUUCCGCCUGGGGAGUACGACCGCAAGGUUGAAACUCAAAGGAAUUGACGGGGGCCCGCACAAGCGGUGGAGCAUGUGGUUUAAUUCGAAGCAACGCGAAGAACCUUACCAGGUCUUGACAUCUUCUGACAAUCCUAGAGAUAGGACUUUCCCUUCGGGGACAGAAUGACAGGUGGUGCAUGGUUGUCGUCAGCUCGUGUCGUGAGAUGUUGGGUUAAGUCCCGCAACGAGCGCAACCCUUAUUGUUAGUUGCCAGCAUUAAGUUGGGCACUCUAGCAAGACUGCCGGUGACAAACCGGAGGAAGGUGGGGAUGACGUCAAAUCAUCAUGCCCCUUAUGACCUGGGCUACACACGUGCUACAAUGGACGGUACAACGAGUCGCAAGACCGCGAGGUUUAGCAAAUCUCUUAAAGCCGUUCUCAGUUCGGAUUGUAGGCUGCAACUCGCCUACAUGAAGUCGGAAUCGCUAGUAAUCGCGGAUCAGCAUGCCGCGGUGAAUACGUUCCCGGGCCUUGUACACACCGCCCGUCACACCAUGAGAGUUUGUAACACCCAAAGCCGGUGGGGUAACCUUUUGGAGCCAGCCGU
rnacentral:rRNA from 1 species